GAAACUAUAAACCGGCUCUCUUCUAGCUUACGACACAAACUAUGAGUGAGAAAAGGACAAAUGAUUCGCUCUUUGCUUCAUUUUUUCCGAGGUUGUCACAACAUGAAAUGUCAUUUGGACCUAUUGGACUCAUUUUAACUCGGCCAAAUACAUAGUAACAUACAUAAGAAGAUUUUACUUAUAUUUACCGAACUAUUUGACACGGUCGCGUCAACUGUGUUUACGAGUGUCUUGUGUUCAGAUUGUUUUAAGUGAUAAUUUAACAAUAUUUUUCCAAAUAAAUGGAAAGAAACUUUUAUUUAUAUCAAAUAAUUGAGUGUCUCGACUGUGUGACAUUAUGUCUUGUGUGGUAUGGGGCUGCAGCUCACAUUCAGGAAGAAAAGAAAAUAGCCAACAACUUCUGUCGUUUCAUCGAUAUUAAAUCCAAAAGUGUCGACUGGAUUUACAUGAAAAGUCAGUUCAAGAAGACGAG